rnacentral:sRNA from 1 species
GAGUGAGGGAAGGGGUGACUAGUGGCAGAGUGAGGGAAGGAAGGGGUGACUAGUGACAAAGUGAGGGAGGUGGUGACUGUCACUAGUCACCACCUCCCUCACUCUGUUACUAGUCACCACCUCCCUCUGUCACUACUCCAUCCCUCCUUCUGUCACUAGUCACCUCCCUCGUCCCUUACUCUGUCACUAGUCACCUCCCUCGUCCCUU